rnacentral:lncRNA from 1 species
AAGAAAUGUUCACAUUAAAUAUUGCAAUUUUUUUUUUUCCUUUUGAACUAUUUUGCUAAUUGUUUAAGAUUGCUAAUUAUUAUGCUGAAUUGACAGAACACGCCGGAAUCCAUGAAUGAAUCCAGUGUGUCUUGCAUAUCACCAGUGAUUUUGAAUUGAUUGAUGGUUAACUGAAGGAUACUUGCAUCAGACACUUAUAACAAUGAACGUAGGAGAUAAGUUAAAUGGCUUACCAUCAUUUUGAUUUAAAUAAACGUUUUGUUCUGAAUCACUCCCUAUCAGAGACUAUAGAGGCGUUCAACGUCUUUUUGGUUGAUAAAACUCGAAUGUUUGAAAACGAGAAUCACUCGCCCUUUAUAUACCCUGUGGAAAAAAAAAUAACGCCAAAGAGGAGGGACAGGGGGUGGAGAUUUUGGAGAAAGAAUGAGACCCGCACUCGCCAUAGCCGAGCCGGAACCUAGGUGAAUGAGAGAAAUAGAGAAAGAAGGGUGGUGCAAGGAUGGGCCACCUCGUCUACGGCCACCUGGCCGCCCCAUAAAAAAAUUUGUAUAUUAGGUAACUCGGCAAGAGGUAGAGACGAAAUCGAGGGCCCCCAUCCUUGGGUUCUUGUACAGGAGAAAGAGGGAGGAGGGAUUGACGUCGUAGCAUAUAGCGACGUAAGCUAUUCGCUUACAGGUGUACAGCUGGUGUUGCCGUAUGGAUAUCGGUGAGAGUGGAUUUCUCCCCGUCUUUUCUCUUUCCUCUCUGAGAUUGUAGACGCGAAGGGUCAGCGCAUUCCAGCCGACUCUAUAAGCCAAAGCCAUUAUGAGUCCUAGAGAUCACUUUGGUCUGUUGCCAGUAGUUUCCAGCCAUAACAAAUAGCCUAAACAUGCGCCACAGCCAAGUCUUCUUCUUUAACAUAACUGCCGAAGGUGAAAGGAAUUCAAUCCAAACUAAACCGAUGUCUAUGUUGUCCAGUCACGAAAUUAAUAGCAAGACAUCAACAGCAGCAGCAAAAUAUAAUCAACUUUCUCUCUCUAUAGAUCGUUCGUAUUGUCUUUUUUCAAAUGUUUCCCUGUUCGCUUCGUAACGCACAAUCUCGCCUUAUCUACUGUAGUCUACAACUAUCAACAAAAUAAAAAUCCAUUCAUUUAUGUUUUGCUAUACCCCACCCGUUAACCGUAUAUAGGUGAGUUUCUUUCACUGGCGUCUGAGUAAUCGCAAGGACUAGGGCGGAUGAAGGCGUGCUGACGUACGGACUUCAGUGUUGACCUCAAUCGGGCGUCUUGCGCGUUCGAUUUCUUCACCGAGUUCCGCUUGUGCCAUUCUGUAUUGUACCAACGGUUAACUCGAUUAAGAAGAAUCCAUUUUUGCAUACGACAGCCGGUUUAUCGUCGUUCGUUCACCAGAGAUUUCUAUCCAUUUUUGAAAAUGUUCCUUUAUUUUUGGGGCUCUUCUACGUUCUUGUCAACGGUUAUGUGGCUAGUGGGCCGUGAUGGACGAUGGCGGGUCACGGGACGUGGCCUGGUCGCGGAUUUAAACAUAUAUCCUAGAACUAAAACAACCGCAGAGUUUUUAUGACCGUGUCGAGUGGACAUGGAUCAUGGAUCACGGCCGCCGAUGAACUUUCCCCUAGCCUCAUUGAAAUGCUAAGCUUGUGCGCCAAAUUUUUAUGUGUUUUUACUUAUCUCUUCUUUUUUUUUUCAGAUAAAAAACCGAAUUUUCUUCGAAUGGGAGGAAAGGGGGAAGAGAGAAAUUGUGUUACUAGCUCCCGACACGACCUUCACUACCAUGUCCGCAUCGACACUAUCGCGGGUUCGGGAGAGAGUUGAAGGAUGUGAGACGAAGUCGAAGGUUGACGGAAGUGCGCAUUGUUUUUGACGCGGAUACCUGUGGUCUCCGAGGAACGAGCACUCUGUUCAGUUAGCUAAUAGCCACUAUUACAACAACCAACUUCUGCAACCUGAAGAACCUGCGCGUUGGUCAGAUACUUCGAAGAGUGGGGCACAUUGAUUGAUUGAAAAACGGAAGAGACUGACCAAACUGGAUUUUAUGGCGAAUUCGUGGCCGAAUUUCGUUGCCCAGCGAUGCAAACCACUGGACGUUUUUUCCCGUUGUUUUUGUGUGUUUUUUUGUUGUCUUGCCUACACCGACCAAAUUGUUUUUAUCUGUUCGGUUUAAGGAAUGCAUUCCAAAUCGUUUGCGUCUUAAGUUCUUCUUCCAAUUUAUUUUAUUUUUUUCCUCUUUUGAAUUGCCUUCGGUAUAAUAAGGGCUAAACAAGGUCAAGCCCUCUGAGGGAAAGAGUCUCGAAUCCGGUUCAUACGCCCUUGUGAGUCCAUAUCUUUUAGCCGAUUUGACUCAUCUUUGAUCUCUCCCGUCAACUAACUGGUCGGUUGAAGAAAAGCGGAACACGUUUUUUUUUUUUUCUUUUCUCGUCUUCCUGUUGCUGCAAGUAACCUUGAACUACGGCUGUCGCCUUUCGUUUGAUGCAACACGAGAAGAAGAUUGGAAGGCUAGACUGUUCACCAGAAGGUAGAAGAGAAAACUUUCACCUGUUCUCGAAUCUCUCGCAAGGAAUUUUUGUUUAAGGUCGCAGUGGAUUUAUUUCAAAACCAAGAUUUUUUUUUCCCUUCCAGGCGAAAAAUGAUAAUAAAAAUUCUUCCUUUUUUUUUUUCUUUCCUCCCUAAAAUCCUCUCGACAGGUCCUCUGCCCAUCAUAAUGACCCAUUCGUCAAACUGAUAUGGAAUCAAUUAUAGCUGAUGGUGAUGCGUUUUGCUGGAAUUUCCGUUGCUAGCCUAACUAAGAGGAUGUGCUUUUUAACAACCUUAUUUGAGUCCGUUGCAGAUUAUGAAAGCCUGUUGUAUGCGUAUAAAAAUAUAGUCUAGAUCUUCCUUGAUGGCUUCUCUUAUAUUCGAUUUGUUUUUCCUUAUAGCUCACCUGUUUGAUUUAUGUAAAAGAGAAAAAGCAAAAGGAGACCAAUGUUUUGAAUGAACGUUCUCGUACACGCCAUGAUGGAUGAUCUCACACCCAGCAGGUUGUUCAACUUUUUCCGAUUUCGUUACACAGUUUAAAGAAAAUCAUUGCAAGACAACAUUCAGAUGACGUGUUGUUUUUUAUUUAUUUAUUUUUGGGGAAAAAUCUAUUUCUCCCCCUAUUCAAACGAUUGCGUUAGAUUAUGCAGGCGGCCCCGUGGGCCUUUCAAAUAUAGGAGUUUGACCCACUUGUCCGUCUACUGGGGCCCGUCUCACACACAGGCCUUAAAGCUUUUUCAUGAUGUCUGCGUAUCUACGUGCGUCUAUGAAAUUCCUGUCGGUUCUUUUUAUUCGGUUUCUUCUACGUAUUAUUUUUUUUUUAAAAUAAAACAUAAAAAUGGCCUGUUAUUUUGUUUUCCUCUUCUUUUCCCUUUAACCUGUCGCCCCACGCUCAACAGGUGCACUAAGGUGGCACUAUAGCCUAAAGCCGGACUUUGGAAAACGGUCGAGUCUCUUUUCUCUUUCUCUGCUACGAUCUGGCACGGAUAUUUCGCAUGACGAGAGGAGAUAUUGUCGGUCUGUUUGAUCCCUUCCUUCAUUUUCGGGUGGCAUUGUGGAUGCGUGCGCGUACCGUCUAGACGAUCUCACUCGUCUAGCUGCAUCCAGAUUGAACGCGUUCGGUUCCAUUUCGGGUUGUUAGUUCGUGAUACCUGUGCUUUUUGCUUUCCUAUCCGGCAAACGGCACAGAAGGAUAUGCACGCAAGGAAAACCAUUGAAUGUAAUGACUUAAGGAGGCCAGCAGGGUAUCCUGUCACUUUCAUUCGAAGCACUGUUUAAUAAACAGUUACGGCCUUAUUUGACGGUCUUUUGAUUUGAUUAUUAGUGCCGGGGUUUUUUGGUGACAUGUCGAAAUGUUUGCCGAAACGCGUGGAAUGACGACUGAAAUGGCAGGAAAGAAAACGGUCGUAUUGUUUGUUAACAACGUGCGUGAGCGCGACCGACAGGUUCCGCUUUCUUCCUUUUAUCUUUAUACGACCCCUAUGGUUGUGUAUUUUAGUAAGGUACUUUUUAAUCCGUGCUGUGGGUGCGACGGGAUUGUGUAGGUGCAUCGGAUGACCCCAACAAAGCUGACGAAAAGAGCUUUCGCUUUCCAGAACCGUCUCGAUCGACUUGGCAUCACGCGGACAUUAACGGUAGAAAACGUGUAUGGGAAAAAGCUAUACAAACAACAGUUGCGAUUUAUUUCUGUCCAAGACGAAGAAAUAAAUGUCCACCCAAACUGGGAUUUUCAAAAUUUUA